GGGUCAGUAGGUUGGUCGUGCCACCGGUACGUACUGGUCUCACUGAUUCCUCCUUCCUGAAGAACCGUAAUGCCAUUAAUUUGGUGUUGCGGGGAAACAGGACUUUUACUUUGAAAAAAUUAGAGUGUUUAAAGCAAGCUAACGCUUGAAUACAUUAGCAUGGAAUAAUGAAAUAGGUCGAUCGAUCCUAUUUUGUUGGUUUCUAGGAUUGACGUA
rnacentral:rRNA from 1 species